GAGGGUAUAGCUCGGUGGUAGAGUGCAUGCUUAGCAUGCACGAGAUCCUGGGUUCAAUCACCAGUAUCUCCA
rnacentral:tRNA from 1 species